GAACCUUACCUGGGCUCGAAGCGCAGUGGAAUGGGGUGGAAACAUCCCCGCCCGCAAGGGCCGCUGCGGAGGUGCUGCAUGGCUGUCGUCAGCUCGUGUCGUGAGAUGUUGGGUUAAGUCCCGCAACGAGCGCAACCCUUAUCUCUAGUUGCCAUCGGGUCAAGCCGGGCACUCUAGCGAAACUGCGCCGGAUAACGGCGAGGAAGGUGGGGAUGACGUCAAGUCCUCAUGGCCUUUAUGUCCAGGGCUACACACGUGCUACAAUGGCCGGUACAAACCGUCGCAAACCCGCGAGGGGGAGCUAAUCGGAAAAAGCCGGCCUCAGUUCGGAUUGGAGUCUGCAACCCGACUCCAUGAAGCUGGAAUCGCUAGUAAUCGCAGAUCAGAACGCUGCGGUGAAUACGUUCCCGGGCCUUGUCACACCGA
rnacentral:rRNA from 1 species